AUGCUAAAAGCAAGAUCAAUUUCUGACUUUUUCUCUGUGCAGAAGAAGCCUCCUGACCUCGGUGGAGGUGCCCGCAGCUGCAGAACCAACUGUGACUUCAUAUUUACAGCUGAAAUUUACACGCAGCUCUGCCCUCCCGACACCCCCAGAUGGCCACGGUCCCUUCAAACGCACAUUGGAGGUGGGUUUUCCACCCUGUGGGCCAUGCUGUUACCUGGACCAUUUGCUGAGUGGUGCUGCACAGAAUCACAGGGCUGGACAGGAGGGCAGCCACUUGGAGUCCUCACCGACCCUCACCUUAACCAGCCCCAUGGUCCCUCGUAUAAAUGAAGGAAGAGCUGCGUAGAGAAGCCAGUGAAAUUCCUCAGUGGCCCCCUAACCCAGCCCCAUGGUCCCUCGUAAAAAUGAAGGAAGAGCUGCGUAGAGAAGCCAGUGAAAUUCCCUCCAAUCCCGUCCUGCCCCGCUGCUAAGCAGCAUCUUCAGCAGAACAAGCAGGCCCUCUGCACAGACCCGGCUGCUCCUGCUCCUCUCUCCUUGGACCAGCCUCUCCGAGAUCGCCCUGACUUCAGGUCAUGUCCAAGGAGGUGACUCUCUCCUCACCAUUUAUCACACAACAAAAACUCUUGAGGAAAAAUAAAUUAAGUCUGGGCCAAAAAAAAAAGCAAUCCUUUCCUCCAAGUUAAUUAAUUUGAGCACCAUUUUCAGGAAAAGCGUUUCUUAAAUCCCUAUCGCUGAAGGCAAUUUUCUUGCCACAAUCACUCAGUGUUCCUGACAGAAGGUGACUGGCAGAAGGAAGGCUUAGGGGAAGGCAGAUUUCUGCAGCCUUGAAGGACCCGCUCCCCGACCCCAAGGAGGCUCCAGUGCCUGAUAAACGUGGGUCUCUCUGAAGGAAAUAGUGACCACAUGGUGUGGGGCGGCGUGCGCACGUGUGUGCACACGUGACUAUGUAUGUGUGUGAUGUGUGCAUAUGUAUGUGCACAUGUAUGUAUGUAUACGUGGUGGAUGAAGGAAGUAUUAAUAGCAGCAUUUUUGUUUCUACAGGGACCCUGGGCAUAGGGCACCCGACCUCCGGUGUGCCCAGCUCCGGUGGACAGAUGGGGCUGCCCUCCAGAAACCCGAGGGGUCACUCGUUUCAGAUUGUUUCCAUUCCUACUUCUGUAUCUCAGCAUCCUUUCAAGCCCAGGUCCAGCAGGGUUGUCUUCAGGGCGUGGAGUUGACCAUUACUGAUGGGAAACUAUGGUAGAGCUUUCUCUGUGCUUGGAAAUGGGGGUAAAAUAUAGGGUCAUGGCCCUGGUUCCCUUAGCCAGGAAGGGUGAUGACAGCUUCCAUUCAUCAAGCAGCCAGGUGCUGGGCUGAGUGCUUUCUGCACUGGCAGGCAUUUCUUCUUCCCAUCUCUCCGACACCUCUGACAAGUUGCUGUUUGCAUCACUGGUUUACAGAGGAGGAAAUUGAGAGUCAGAGGCCACAGGACUCCUGGGUUCACACAACCUAGUAAGCUUGGAGCCCCAGUGGCUGUGACUGUCAGGGCCCAGGAGGCCCGGCCAGGGGGGAACCCACUGCCCUGCCCUGUAGCCCGUUUCUGGGCCCUGGGUUCCCCCCUGGCCGGGCCUCCUGCCACAGAAACCGUGGUAUGAGGACAACCUCAACUGGGAAGAAUGUUAAAACCAGGGCUUCUUCCCCCCUCUAAGUCCUUCCAGGGACUUCCCCAGCUGGAGGAAAGGCCCCACACCCGUUCUGAGGGGUGAGGGUGAUGCCGAGGAGACGUUGUCCUGAGUGAGGCAGAGGGUUGGCCUGAGCUCCUUGCACACACAGGGCCUGGGCAGAGUGGUGGCCUCAGGGUCAGCUUGUCCCCCCACGCCUUUGCUCCUCAUGGCUUGCUGACAUUCUCUGGGAGCCUGUAAUCAUGCAGGAGUAGCCUGAGGUUGAGAUAUUUGUCUCUCAGGGCUUUGAGAGCAUUAAAUGUGAAACUAGUUAAAUGACCUAACUCUGCCGGGCUUAGAGAACUGUUCAGGAAACAGUAACUAUUAUUAUUAAUGAUUUCUUCCUCCAUGUGGCAGGUGGCUAACCUGCGUUCCUUGCUGCAGGAUAGGACUGUGAGCAUCAGGGUGUUAGCGGAUGUGGCUGGGUCCCACCUGUGUUUGAUGCUGCCAUUCCUGUGGCACCUAAACGGCUUCCUGGGACUCCUGUUCCUCACUUGCAAAACAAGCAAGUUCCUAGUACCUGUCUCAUAAGGUAGCGGGAAAGAGAUGAAGGUAGGAGAGGAUCUGCCUAGGGCACUCUGUCUGGUCCUGGCACAGAGGAGGGGCUUAGCUAGUGGUAAAAUGGAGAUGUUGAUCGCACCAUCAUCAUCAGCAUCACCACCAUCACCAUUCACCAUCAUCAUUAUCACCAACACCAUCAUCACCAUCACAAUUACCAUCAUCACUGUCAUCAUCAACCUCACCACCAUCGUCACCAUCAAGACCAUUAUCACCAUCCGCACCAUCACCAUUACCACCACCAUCACCGAAAUCACUGUAAUCAUGAUUAUGUUGGUAACUCAUUAAAUUCCGUAGGAAUUCUCCUGAGCUCCUGUGGAAACUCAGGCUACUGUGCAUUUUCCUUACCUGGAAAUGAGUGUAUCCACACAAUUCAGAGUUCAUUAGAGGAGGCUGUGUCCUGCUAAAUGACGCCCCUGGGAGUUGAGGACAUUUCUAAAAAAGCAUUUUAAGUAAAUCUGUGGAUCUAAAGCAAGGACGGAGAAUGUCUUUUUCCUGGGGCCUCCUUUGUGCUCACUUUGGACCAAGCAUACGCUGCAUCUGAGCUGACAGCUCUUUCUUCUUUCUAAGUCAUGUGGACUGGAAGCACAGCUCUGGGGGUAGUCGUGUAUCCCCUGAGAAAGCAUCCGCUAAGAGGAAUAGAAGACGGGCUCACCUUGGGAUUUUGUCUCUGUCCCCCAGCCCUUGUUUGUCAGACCAGACCAGAUUUAAGGGUUCUCAUGCUUUUAGUCUCUUUUCUCCUCUUGUGUUUAUUUAUUUAUGUUUUAGGCCACUCUCCAGGUC
rnacentral:lncRNA from 1 species